rnacentral:rRNA from 1 species
GACGAACGCUGGCGGCGUGCCUAAUACAUGCAAGUCGAACGCAGGGGGGACGGGUGAGUAACACGUGGGUAACCUCCCAUCAGAGGGGAUACCACUUGGAAACAGGUGCUAAACCGAUAUUGCUGGCUGGACCCGCGGUGCAUUAGCUAGUUGGUGAGGUAACGGCUCACAAAGGCCACGAUGCAUCGCCGGCCUGAGAGGGUGAUCGGCCACACUGGAACUGAGACACGGCCCAGACUCCUACGGGAGGCAGCAGUAGGGAAUCUUGGGCAAUGGACGAAAGUCUGACCGAGCCAUGCCGCGUGAGUGAAGAAGGUUUUCGGAUCGUAAAACACUGUUGGUAGAGAAGCGGUAUCUAACCAGAAAGCCACGGCUAACUACGUGCCAGCAGCCGCGGUAAUUC